CCGCUGAAANNUAGCAUAUCAAUAAGCGGAGGAAAAGAAACCAACAGGGAUUGCCCUAGUAACGGCGAGUGAAAGCGGCAACAGCUCAAAUUUGAAAUCUGGCUUCGGCCCGAGUUGUAAUUUGUAGAGGAAGCUUUUGGUGAGGCACCUUCUGAGUCCCCUGGAACGGGGCGCCAUAGAGGGUGAGAGCCCCGUAUAGUCGGAUGCCGAUCCAAUGUAAAGCUCCUUCGACGAGUCGAGUAGUUUGGGAAUGCUGCUCAAAAUGGGAGGUAAAUUUCUUCUAAAGCUAAAUACCGGCCAGAGACCGAUAGCGCACAAGUAGAGUGAUCGAAAGAUGAAAAGCACUUUGAAAAGAGGGUUAAAUAGCACGUGAAAUUGUUGAAAGGGAAGCGUUUGUGACCAGACUUGCGCCGUUCCGAUCAUCCGGUGUUCUCACCGGUGCACUCGGGGCGGCUCAGGCCAGCAUCGGUUUUGGUGGGGGGAUAAAGGUUCGGGGAACGUAGCUCCUCCGGGAGUGUUAUAGCCCCGGGCGUAAUGCCCUCGCCGGGACCGAGGUUCGCGCAUCUGCAAGGAUGCUGGCGUAAUGGUCAUCAACGACCCGUCUUGAAACACGGACCAAGGAGUCAAGGUUUUGCGCGAGUGUUUGGGUGUAAAACCCGCACGCGUAAUGAAAGUGAACGUAGGUGAGAGCUUCGGCGCAUCAUCGACCGAUCCUGAUGUAUUCGGAUGGAUUUGAGUAAGAGCGUUAAGCCUUGGACCCGAAAGAUGGUGAACUAUGCUUGGAUAGGGUGAAGCCAGAGGAAACUCUGGUGGAGGCUCGCANCGGUUCUG
rnacentral:rRNA from 1 species